UACGUAGGGUGCUAGCGUUGUCCGGAUUUAUUGGGCGUAAAGAGCGUGUAGGCGGUCAGGUAGGUCUGCUGUGAAAACUCGAGGCUCAACCUCGAGACGUCGGCGGAAACCAUCUGGCUAGAGUCCGGAAGAGGAGAGUGGAAUUCCUGGUGUAGCGGUGAAAUGCGCAGAUAUCAGGAAGAACACCCGUGGCGAAGGCGGCUCUCUGGGACGGUACUGACGCUGAGACGCGAAAGCGUGGGGAGCGAACAGG
rnacentral:rRNA from 1 species